rnacentral:rRNA from 1 species
AUUGAACGCUGGCGGCAGGCCUAACACAUGCAAGUCGAGCGGAUGAAGGGAGCUUGCUCCUGGAUUCAGCGGCGGACGGGUGAGUAAUGCCUAGGAAUCUGCCUGGUAGUGGGGGAUAACGUCCGGAAACGGGCGCUAAUACCGCAUACGUCCUGAGGGAGAAAGUGGGGGAUCUUCGGACCUCACGCUAUCAGAUGAGCCUAGGUCGGAUUAGCUAGUUGGUGGGGUAAAAGCCUACCAAGGCGACGAUCCGUAACUGGUCUGAGAGGAUGAUCAGUCACACUGGAACUGAGACACGGUCCAGACUCCUACGGGAGGCAGCAGUGGGGAAUAUUGGACAAUGGGCGAAAGCCUGAUCCAGCCAUGCCGCGUGUGUGAAGAAGGUCUUCGGAUUGUCAAGCACUUUAAGUUGGGAGGAAGGGCAGUAAGUUAAUACCUUGCUGUUUUGACGUUACCAACAGAAUAAGCACCGGCUAACUUCGUG